rnacentral:lncRNA from 1 species
AGUGCUCCCGCGGCCGGGCUCACGGGAACUGAGGCGAGCCGGUGCCUGCCCUGCGCAGGCAGCUCUCCGAAGGCUUACUUACUUAAAUCUCUAGUCGUUCUUAUACUUGGGGAGUGACCUAGUGGGUACUGCUGCCAUCGCCUUGAU